rnacentral:rRNA from 1 species
GGCUCGCUCAACCCUCUGAACUGGGACAAAAAACUCAUUAGAUCCUCCGCCUGAGGACAUACCGUAACUAAGAUGACAACUCACAGGAUUAUACGUAGGUGGCAAGCGUUGUCCGGAAUUAUUGGGCAUAAAGGGCCCGUAUGCGGNCCCUUAAGUCANAUGUGAAAUCCCGAGGCUUAACCUCGGGCGUGCAUUUGAAACUGGGGGACUAGAGUGCUCGAAAGGUAAGUGGAAUUCCUAUUGUAGCGGUGAAAUGCGUACAUAUUAUGAGGAACACCAGUGGCGAAGGCGACUUACUGGACUGUAACUGACGCUAAGGCCCGAAAGCGUGGGGAGCAAACAGGAUUAGAUACCCUGGUAGUCCACGCUGUAAACGACGGAUACUACGUGUGGGAGGUAUCGACCCCUUCCGUGCCGCAGAAAACGCAAUCUGUAUCCCGCCUGGGGAGUACGGUCGCAAGGUUCAAACUCAAA